AACCUGCGUGAGCGUUCCCCGGGUGCCAGGUGCCGCUCUGGGCACCCCGCUCACUGCUCCUUCCAUCCUCAGGGCUACCCACUUCCUUCCUGAGUAAGUCCUCCGCUCCCGCAGCUGGAGGGUGACAGGCGGCCUGCCCCGGGGAAGGGCUCUCUCCUCUGCCUGGCAUCUGUGGCCAUUGUUCCCAGCGACUUCCGCCACCUCGUCACAGGAUGUCAUGCCUGUGCUCCUGAAGCAAGCCACAGGACUCCUCCGCUCUUCUGUCUUACAGAGCAUCCAAGAGCAAUGAAGAGAAGCCCCACGGUUGUAACCGCCACUACGCUGGGACCCCUUAAAGUCUUCAGAGCUGCAGCCAUGGCAGGAAAUAAAGAGGAGGGAAGAAAAAGGGAAGUUAUUUGUGUAAUGGUGUCCUGAUGGCUCUAGAAGAGGAAGUGGCAGACCUUUAAACAUCGUUAAGAUGCUACAUAAGGAGAAAAUAUCAAAAUGAAGAUACUAUACCUGGGCACGGUUAAAUUCCUUAUUAAAGGAUUUCACAAAGACCUCUUCUAAAGCCAAAUGAGUGGAAACCGGUCAUAACUGAGCAAAAGCCAUCCGACAGCCGGAGACUCAGCCUUGCUAUUGUUUAUGGAAAGAUGCAUGAAGGCUGACUUUGUCACAGUUGUUUUCCUUGGGUUUUGAAUAUUUUUGCAAACCGCUAAGAUACAAAUGUCACACAAAUGAGUAAGAAAGAGGAUUUCCUUCUGAACACAAUUGACAGGGCAGGUGCAAAAUAAAAGGGAAUGUAUGUGACGAUCAAGGAAGGACACACUUCAGAUUUAUAAAAGGUUACUCACGUUUCUCAUCAGGUGCACACAACUGCCUUAGAUAGAAAGCAUCAGAACUCACGGAACAGCCAAGCAGCUAGGAACGUGGACUUGGAAGCUGACCAGUAGUUUCAGUUCUAAAUUUACCACUAAUCUGCUCUGUUUCUGCGACAUACGACUGAACUCUUUUUAGCUCCUCAAAAGAAAUCGUGAUGAAUUUACCUCUAGAUCCUUCAGUUAAUUUCAUGAACUUAAAACAUUG